rnacentral:misc_RNA from 1 species
AUUAGAAUAGGUAAACUUGAAAAAAUAAAGUUGAUAAAUGCAUACAUACCAUAAACGAGAGAGAGAGAAAGGUGGAAAAUAAAUGAACUUGAAUUUUCAAUAUCUACAUCUAUUAUUGAAAAAGAAAUACCAGAAGAGCAGAGGAGUUUUGAGUAGACGAUGGUGAAGAAAUGAAUAGACCUAACUCAUAUCAAUAUGAACUGUGGCCUCUUGACAACUCAACCAUCAGGAUUCAAUAAGAUCUACUCAAAUAUG